rnacentral:rRNA from 1 species
AUUGAACGCUGGCGGCAUGCCUUACACAUGCAAGUCGAACGGCAGCACGGGAGCAAUCCUGGUGGCGAGUGGCGAACGGGUGAGUAAUAUAUCGGAACGUGCCCAGUCGUGGGGAUAACGUAGAGAAAUUUACGCUAAUACCGCAUACGAUCUAAGGAUGAAAGCGGGGGACCGUAAGGCCUCGCGCGAUUGGAGCGGCUGAUAUCAGAUUAGGUUGUUGGUGAGGUAAAAGCUCACCAAGCCGACGAUCUGUAGCUGGUUUGAGAGAACGACCAGCCACACUGGGACUGAGACACGGCCCAGACUCCUACGGGAGGCAGCAGUGGGGAAUUUUGGACAAUGGGCGCAAGCCUGAUCCAGCAAUGCCGCGUGCAGGAUGAAGGCCUUCGGGUUGUAAACGU